rnacentral:lncRNA from 1 species
UUUUUGUAUGUAAUUUUAUAAUUUAAUAUUAUGUAAGAGGGAGUAUAUGAAGUAGGGACAGUAUAACUUGUAUAUGUUGGCUUAAAUAGGCCAGCUCAUUCUGCCCUGUGGUGAGAGGCCAUGUUGGGCCGAGUCAUGUUCAAAAUAGUGUGAGGCUAGAUGGACUGAGUCAUGUUCGAAGUGACGUGAGGCUGGGUGGGCCGAGUUACAAUCGAAACCCCUUGGCGUUGUAUUUGUAUGCUUUAAGUGAAUUGGUUGUAUAUUUUUAACAGUUCGAGCUUUUGAGGUUAAUGGUUGGCGCCAACGAUCCGACAGUAUAUCCUUAAUUGGGUGUACAAGUAGUAUUUUUUUUUUAAAAAAAA